GACCAUCCUCCAAGGCUAAAUACUCCUGACUGACCGAUAGUGAACCAGUACCGUGAGGGAAAGGCGAAAAGAACCCCGGCGAGGGGAGUGAAAAAGAACCUGAAACCGUGUACGUACAAGCAGUGGGAGCACCCUUUGGGGUGUGACUGCGUACCUUUUGUAUAAUGGGUCAGCGACUUAUAUUCUGUAGCAAGGUUAACCGAAUAGGGGAGCCGGAGGGAAACCGAGUCUUAACCGGGCGUUAAGUUGCAGGGUAUAGACCCGAAACCCGGUGAUCUAGCCAUGGGCAGGUUGAAGGUUGGGUAACACUAACUGGAGGACCGAACCGACUAAUGUUGAAAAAUUAGCGGAUGACCUGUGGCUGGGGGUGAAAGGCCAAUCAAACCGGGAGAUAGCUGGUUCUCCCCGAAAGCUAUUUAGGUAGCGCCUCGUGAAUUCAUCUCCGGGGGUAGAGCACUGUUUCGGCUAGGGGGCCAUCCCGGCUUACCAACCCGAUGCAAACUGCGAAUACCGGAGAAUGUUAUCACGGGAGACACACGGCGGGUGCUAACGUCCGUCGUGAAGAGGGAAACAACCCAGACCGCCAGCUAAGGUCCCAAAGUCAUGGUUAAGUGGGAAACGAUGUGGGAAGGCCCAGACAGCCAGGAUGUUGGCUUAGAAGCAGCCAUCAUUUAAAGAAAGCGUAAUAGCUCACUGGUCGAGUCGGCCUGCGCGGAAGAUGUAACGGGGCUAAACCAUGCACCGAAGCUGCGGCAGCGACACUGUGUGUUGUUGGGUAGGGGAGCGUUCUGUAAGCCUGUGAAGGUGGCCUGUGAGGGUUGCUGGAGGUAUCAGAAGUGCGAAUGCUGACAUAAGUAACGAUAAAGCGGGUGAAAAGCCCGCUCGCCGGAAGACCAAGGGUUCCUGUCCAACGUUAAUCGGGGCAGGGUGAGUCGACCCCUAAGGCGAGGCCGAAAGGCGUAGUCGAUGGGAAACGGGUUAAUAUUCCCGUACUUGGUGUUACUGCGAAGGGGGGACGGAGAAGGCUAUGUUGGCCGGGCGACGGUUGUCCCGGUUUAAGCGUGUAGGUGUGUGUUCCAGGUAAAUCCGGUUCACUUUAACACUGAGGCGUGACGACGAGGCACUACGGUGCUGAAGCAACAAAUGCCCUGCUUCCAGGAAAAGCCUCUAAGCAUCAGGUAACAUCAAAUCGUACCCCAAACCGACACAGGUGGUCAGGUAGAGAAUACCAAGGCGCUUGAGAGAACUCGGGUGAAGGAACUAGGCAAAAUGGUGCCGUAACUUCGGGAGAAGGCACGCUGACACGUAGGUGAAGUGAUUUACUCAUGGAGCUGAAGUCAGUCGAAGAUACCAGCUGGCUGCAACUGUUUAUUAAAAACACAGCACUGUGCAAACACGAAAGUGGACGUAUACGGUGUGACGCCUGCCCGGUGCCGGAAGGUUAAUUGAUGGGGUCAGCGCAAGCGAAGCUCCUGAUCGAAGCCCCGGUAAACGGCGGCCGUAACUAUAACGGUCCUAAGGUAGCGAAAUUCCUUGUCGGGUAAGUUCCGACCUGCACGAAUGGCGUAAUGAUGGCCAGGCUGUCUCCACCCGAGACUCAGUGAAAUUGAACUCGCUGUGAAGAUGCAGUGUACCCGCGGCAAGACGGAAAGACCCCGUGAACCUUUACUAUAGCUUGACACUGAACAUUGAGCCUUGAUGUGUAGGAUAGGUGGGAGGCUUUGAAGUGUGGACGCCAGUCUGCAUGGAGCCGACCUUGAAAUACCACCCUUUAAUGUUUGAUGUUCUAACGUGGACCCGUGAUCCGGGUUGCGGACAGUGUCUGGUGGGUAGUUUGACUGGGGCGGUCUCCUCCUAAAGAGUAACGGAGGAGCACGAAGGUUGGCUAAUCCUGGUCGGACAUCAGGAGGUUAGUGCAAUGGCAUAAGCCAGCUUGACUGCGAGCGUGACGGCGCGAGCAGGUGCGAAAGCAGGUCAUAGUGAUCCGGUGGUUCUGAAUGGAAGGGCCAUCGCUCAACGGAUAAAAGGUACUCCGGGGAUAACAGGCUGAUACCGCCCAAGAGUUCAUAUCGACGGCGGUGUUUGGCACCUCGAUGUCGGCUCAUCACAUCCUGGGGCUGAAGUAGGUCCCAAGGGUAUGGCUGUUCGCCAUUUAAAGUGGUACGCGAGCUGGGUUUAGAACGUCGUGAGACAGUUCGGUCCCUAUCUGCCGUGGGCGCUGGAGAACUGAGGGGGGCUGCUCCUAGUACGAGAGGACCGGAGUGGACGCAUCACUGGUGUUCGGGUUGUCAUGCCAAUGGCACUGCCCGGUAGCUAAAUGCGGAAGAGAUAAGUGCUGAAAGCAUCUAAGCACGAAACUUGCCCCGAG
rnacentral:rRNA from 1 species